ACAUAUACAUAUACGUAUACGUAUACGUAUACGUAUACGUGUGUGUGUGUGU
rnacentral:miRNA from 1 species